rnacentral:rRNA from 1 species
UCGGUAUGGGAUGGGGUCGCGUCCUAUCAGGUAGUCGGCGGGGUAACGGCCCACCGAGCCUACGACGGGUAGCCGGCCUGAGAGGGCGACCGGCCACAUUGGGACUGAGAUACGGCCCAGACUCCUACGGGAGGCAGCAGUGGGGAAUAUUGCACAAUGGGCGCAAGCCUGAUGCAGCGACGCCGCGUGCGGGAUGACGGCCUUCGGGUUGUAAACCGCUUUUGACUGGGAGCAAGCCCUUCGGGGUGAGUGUACCUUUCGAAUAAGCACCGGCUAACUACGUGCCAGCAGCCGCGGUAAUACGUAGGGUGCAAGCGUUAUCCGGAAUUAUUGGGCGUAAAGGGCUCGUAGGCGGUUCGUCGCGUCCGGUGUGAAAGUCCAUCGCUUAACGGUGGAUCCGCGCCGGGUACGGGCGGGCUUGAGUGCGGUAGGGGAGACUGGAAUUCCCGGUGUAACGGUGG